rnacentral:rRNA from 1 species
CCUAAGGUAGCGAAAUUCCUUGUCGGGUAAGUUCCGACCUGCACGAAUGGCGUAAUGAUGGCCAGGCUGUCUCCACCCGAGACUCAGUGAAAUUGAACUCGCUGUGAAGAUGCAGUGUACCCGCGGCAAGACGGAAAGACCCCGUGAACCUUUACUAUAGCUUGACACUGAACACUGGUCCUUGAUGUGUAGGAUAGGUGGGAGGCUUUGAAGUGUGGACGCCAGUCUGCAUGGAGCCAUCCUUGAAAUACCACCCUUUAAUGGCUGGUGUUCUAACGUGGGCCCGUAAUCCGGGUUGCGGACAGUGUCUGGUGGGUAGUUUGACUGGGGCGGUCUCCUCCUAAAGAGUAACGGAGGAGCACGAAGGUCAGCUAAUCCUGGUCGGACAUCAGGAGGUUAGUGCAAUGGCAUAAGCUGGCUUGACUGCGAGCGUGACGGCGCGAGCAGGUGCGAAAGCAGGUCAUAGUGAUCCGGUGGUUCUGAAUGGAAGGGCCAUCGCUCAACGGAUAAAAGGUACUCCGGGGAUAACAGGCUGAUACCGCCCAAGAGUUCAUAUCGACGGCGGUGUUUGGCACCUCGAUGUCGGCUCAUCACAUCCUGGGGCUGAAGUAGGUCCCAAGGGUAUGGCUGUUCGCCAUUUAAAGUGGUACGCGAGCUGGGUUUAGAACGUCGUGAGACAGUUCGGUCCCUAUCUGCCGUGGGCGCUGGAGAAUUGAGGGGGGCUGCUCCUAGUACGAGAGGACCGGAGUGGACGCAUCACUGGUGUUCGGGUUGUCAUGCCAAUGGCAUUGCCCGGUAGCUAAAUGCGGAAGAGAUAAGUGCUGAAAGCAUCUAAGCACGAAACUUGCCCCGAGAUGAGUUCUCCCUGA